CGGCAUCCCUUAACAUGCAGUCGAACGGUAACAGCGCUGCUUCGGAUGCUGACGAGUGGCGAACGGGUGAGUAAUACAUCGGAACGUGCCCGAUCGUGGGGGAUAACGGAGCGAAAGCUUUGCUAAUACCGCAUACGAUCUACGGAUGAAAGCAGGGGACCGCAAGGCCUUGCGCGGACGGAGCGGCCGAUGGCAGAUUAGGUAGUUGGUGGGAUAAAAGCUUACCAAGCCGACGAUCUGUAGCUGGUCUGAGAGGACGACCAGCCACACUGGGACUGAGACACGGCCCAGACUCCUACGGGAGGCAGCAGUGGGGAAUUUUGGACAAUGGGCGCAAGCCUGAUCCAGCCAUGCCGCGUGCAGGAUGAAGGCCUUCGGGUUGUAAACUGCUUUUGUACGGAACGAAAAGACUCUUUCUAAUAAAGAGGGUCCAUGACGGUACCGUAAGAAUAAGCACCGGCUAACUACGUGCCAGCAGCCGCGGUAAUACGUAGGGUGCGAGCGUUAAUCGGAAUUACUGGGCGUAAAGCGUGCGCAGGCGGUUAUGCAAGACAGAUGUGAAAUCCCCGGGCUCAACCUGGGAACUGCAUUUGUGACUGCAUGGCUAGAGUGCGGCAGAGGGGGAUGGAAUUCCGCGUGUAGCAGUGAAAUGCGUAGAUAUGCGGAGGAACACCGAUGGCGAAGGCAAUCCCCUGGGCCUGCACUGACGCUCAUGCACGAAAGCGUGGGGAGCAACAGGAUUAGAUACCCUGGUAGUCCACGCGCCUAAACGAUGU
rnacentral:rRNA from 1 species